GGAGCCUCAGAGGGUGGGGCCCAAUCCUGUCUGUGGUGGGAAUUUAUCCCUGAGCCUGAACUUUGUUGGGGGUCCUCCAGACUGGCUGAGAGCAGACCACUGCCUGCUCCAGGCAAAACGAAGAAGGUACCUCAGGUACUUUUAGUGCCUUUUUCUUGCAGUCCCCCCAACUGCCCCUGAGCCCACAAGUGGGCCGGCCUUGCUCAGCUCCCCCUUCCUACACCCCUCUCCCCCGACCCAGUGGCUCAUUUAUGUUCUAUAAAUUAACCGAGUUCAUGGCUGAGGGGCUUAAUUGCUUUCUCUCAGUGGUAACAUAUGGGUAUGUUUACUAGGGUGAUUAAUGCCCCAACUCUGCAAGGAGAGUUAAUUUUGGAAGUUGGGACCACACUGCUCUGGAGGCAUGGGUGGAGGUCCCAUUCAGGGCACAGAGCCCUGCCUGGCCCCCAGGGCAGGGCUCUGUACAACUGAGCUCUGGGGAGGGGAGUACACGUCCCCUUCUCUUUCUGCCCCAGCCCCAACGCUCUUUGACAAAGACUGGCGAAGGAGAGAGGCUGUGCAGCUUUGCCACAGAGGUGAUGGGAAGUGACAGGUAUCUUUAGGCAAUUGGAGAAGAGGAUGUGGGCCCUUCACUUGCUGUGUUCAGCCAGAGACAGCAAGCCUGCCUUCUGCCUCUGGGGCCUCAGAGCCAAGGCCAGGCCUAGUGAGCAGGCUUCUUCAGCUUAAUGAGCUGACAAGAAUGAAUUUUGCCUAAGGAGAAACUGAAAAGGGCUGCAGUGUCCAAGGGGCUUGGGCAUAAAAAUAUUAGAGAUCUAGAUUUUACCAGACCCGUGAACAGAAUUCCUUUUUUGAGGAAGAUCAGCCAUGAGCUAACCUCUGCUGCCAAUCCUCCUGUUUUCGCUGAGGAGAUUAGCCCUGAGCUAACAUCGUGCCCACCUUCCUCUACUUUAUAUGUGGGACGCCUGCCCCAGCAUGGCUUGAUGAGCGGUGCCAUGUCCACACCCGGGAUCUGAACCAGCCAAUUCUGAGCCGCCAAAGCGGAACGCGCGAACGUAACCAUUGCGACACGAGGCCGGCCCAAACAGACUUUUAUAAAGCAGUCAAGGUAUAAAAUAGCUGUUCCCAGUAGCUUCAAGUUUUAUCUUUCUUCAGAAGUUGACUCAAUUCAGUUUCCCUUAUUCCUGGAAGCCUCAUCAAAAUUCUCAAGACCUGGCAUUGAUCAGCAUCGUCUUCACUGAGUCUGAACACACUAUGAAGAGCUGACCUGGAGGCCGAUGCCUGAGAGGCCGCAGGGGAAGCCACGUCUGUGGGAGGGAACAGCGAGAUGUGCACACUGCGAUGACCCUUUCCUACCUGGGAUACAUGGUGUGAUGCCAUGUCUUUCUUAACAGCCAGCUUUCCCCAAAGCAGCCCCCCAGCGGGUCCAUCUCAUUUGCUUUCAUGCUCUCACAAUCCUUGGUGUCCCCACCUUCUCCCAAGUGGUGCCCCCUUCAGCCCCCUCCAGGCUGGGGCAUCCUGGAUCUGCUGAUCUUGCUCUGGGAGAGUCCCUCCUGUGACCUGGUGCUCCCCUCUUGAGACCUUCUGCACCUGUAAAACAAGGACAGAAUAGUCAUUUCCAGGGCCCUUCUUUGCCCUGAAGCUCUGAAAUCCUGCUUCAGUCACUGUUCAUAGCUCUGGGACUCAGUGGGCUCCUGGAUGCCAUCUUGGCCUGUGGCCAUCCUGGUGGAUCCUCACUGGCCCCACCGCCCCCUCAGCCCAGAGAGAAGUUCUGUGUCUCCUGCCUUGCAGUGCCCCGGCCUCUAGAGCGAGUUAAUUCAGGGUCUUUCUCGCAUGCAGGGCCGUUCCUCUGUACUGUCCAGCUGAGGGACUCCAGUCUCAGGCCAGUCUGUGUACUGUGAAAAAAAGUCAGUUGUGAAAAUCUGUUCCCUCUUCCCAUGGAUUGGGCAGGGGACAGUAAGUAGGAGUGGCUAAAUUCCUCAGCAUAAGCCCUACCCAGGAAUCCGGCUGGGAGGGGAGGAGGGAGGAGGAGAGGGGGCAGAGGGAGAAGCUCUGCAUGGUGGAAGUGGCCCAGGCACUGCUUUUAAAGAUGAGACCUCUGGGGGCCGGCCCGGUGGUGCAGCGGUUAAGUUUGCAGGUUCUGCUUCUCAGCGGGCUGGGGUUCACCGGUUUGGAUCCUGGGUGCGGACCUGGCACUGCUUGGCAAGCCAUGCUGUGGUAGGCAUCCCACAUAUAAAGUAGAGGAAGACAGGCACAGAUGUUAGCUCAGGGCCAGUCUUCCUCAGCAAAAAGACGAGGAUUGGCAGUAGUUAGCUCUGGGCUAAUCUUCCUUAAAAAAAAAAAAAAAAAAAAGAUGAGACCUCUGAUGCUCAGCUUAGAAAACGUCUUGUGUGAAUGGGUUUGUUUGCUUUUGUUUUGGGGAGUUUUUUUGCUGAGAAUCCAGGCAGGGCUGAGGCCAGCCUUGGUUGAUAUGGUGCAGGCCAGGGCCAGCAAGCCGAGCUGAGAUGUAAAGUGGUGAGAAUGCGCGCUGGAGCCGGACAGCCACGCAGAUUAGACGUGAUAAUAAUGAUCACAUCAGGAGGAGGAGUUUGUAUUUGCGCUUCGCUUGGAAUAGUGCCGAGUGGGGUGAGUGUGAUGUGUGUGUUUGUUGAAUGCAUUAGGGUGUAUUGUUUAAAAACUCAAUUAGAGUUUUUUAAAAAAUAAGCAUUAUUUUGAAAAAAUUUUAGAUUUAUAGGAAAGUUGCAAUGGGAACACAGAGUUUACCUGUACCCCACCCCCAGAGCCCCUGUUGUUAACAUCUGACGCUACCCUGGUACAGUUGUCACGCUGAGGAACCAGCCCUGGUGCAUUACUAUUAACAAAGCCCCAGGCUCUAUUUGGGUUUCAGUCAUUUUCCCACUAAUGCCCUCCUUCUGUUCCUGGCUCCACUCAGGUAUCACACUGCUUUCAGUUGUCGUGUUUUCUUAGUCUCCUCUGGUCUGUGACAGUUUCUCAGUCUUUUGUUGUUUUUCACAACCUUCGCAGUUUUGAGGAGUACUGGUCAGGUAUUUUGUAGCAGUUCCUUCAAUUGGGAUUUUUCUGAUGUUUUUCUCCUGAUUACACUGGGGUGAUUGGGUUUUGGAAAGAAUACUAAAGAAGCUCUUCCCAUCACAUCAUACGGGGGGACACAGGAGAUCUGCAUGACACUCCUGGUGACAUUAACCGUCAUCAUGUGGCUAAGGGGAUGUCUGCCAGAUUUCUCCACUCUAAGUCACUAUUUUCCGCUCUGCCUACAAUGUUCUUUGGAGCCCAGGUUUGGAGCUUGGAGGAGCGGGGAUUGGGCUCCAGGCCCUGGCGCGGGGCGUGUCUCCAUGUGCCGCUUGGAAUCUCUUGCAAGGAUGAACUGCCCCUUCUCACUCAUUUAUUUACUUAUUCAAUCGUAAUUCGCUUCAGUGUGGAUUUAUAGACAUGUAUUUUAUACUUUGGGUUAUAAUCCAAUGCUGCAUUUAUUUAUUUAUUUAUUAUUGUUUUUUGAGGAAGAUUAGCCCUGAGCUAACUACUGCCAGUCCUCCUCUUUUUGCUGAGGAAGACUGGCCCUGAGCUAACAUCGUGCCCAUCUUCCUCUACUUUAUACGUGGGAUGCCUACCACAGCAUGGCUUGCCAAGCAGUGCCAUGUCCGCACCCAGGAUCCGAACCGGUGAACCCCGGGCCACCGAGAAGCGGAAUGUGCACACUUAACCGCUGCACCACCGGGCCUGCCCCAAUGCUAUGUUUUUUAUUUUGUUGCUUGAAUCGUUCUGGCUUUAGCCAUUAGAAGCUCUUUUGGGUUGUGUGAGAUAAUAGAAAAUAUAUAUAUUGGUGUCUGCCUCCAGUUCCUGGCACAAGGCUCCUAAAACCCUGGUCAUUUGCUGUCUGAUAAGUGCACUAGGAGCAUCUCUUGUUCUAAUACUGUUCUUUGACCUCUGUUCUUGAUGCAGAGCUCCUGAAACCCUUCUAAUUUCCUGGGCGACAGGAGAAGACCUCUUUUGUUCUAAUGAGGUGGCUCUGGGGGGCGCUCCUGGAUGACAGCUGGUCACCGGAAAGACCAGGCUUAGAAUUUUCUGCCCCGCACCCUAUUCUCCUGAGAAGGGAGAAAGGCUGAAAAUGGAGUUAAUGAUCAGUCAUGUCUAUAUGAUGAAACCUCCAUAAAAAUCCCAAAAGUAUGGAGUUCAGAGAGCUUCCAGAUUGGCGAAUACAUUCAUAUACUGAGAGGAUGACACACCCCCAACUCCGUGGGGACAGAAGCUCCUGUGCUCAGUACCCUCCCAGACCUCCCCCUGUAUAUCUCUUUAUCUGGCUGUUCAUCUGUAGCCUUUAUCAUAUCCUUUAAUAAACCGGUAAAUAUAAGUGUUACUCUGAGUUCUGUGAGCUGCUCUAGCAAAUUACUUGAACCCGAGGAGAGGGUAUUUGGAUCCUUCCAUCUAUAGCUGGUCGGUCAGAAGCGCAGGUGAUACCCUGGGCUUGUGAUUGGCAUCUGAAGUUGGGGGGAUCGUGUGGGGAGCAGUCUUUUUUUUUCUCCCCAAAUCCCCCCAGUAUAUAGUUGUAUAUUUUAGUUGUGGGUCCUUCUAGUUGUGGCAUGUGGGACACCGCCUCACCAUGUCCUGAUGAGUGAUGCCAUAUCCGCGCCUAGGAUCUGAAUCGGCGAAACCCUGGGCCGCCGCAGCAGAGCGCGUGAACUUAACCACUCAGCCGUAUGGCUGGCCCCCGGGGAGCAGUCUUGUGGGACUGAGUCCUGAAUCUGUGGAACCUGAUGCUAUCUCCAGGUAGAUAGUGUUCAAAUUGAGUUAAAUGUAGGACACCCUGCUGGUGUCACAGAGAAUUGCUUGUUGUGGGGAAACACCUCCACACCUUUGGUGACCAGAAAUGUCAGAAGAGAAGUGUUCUGUGUGAAUAGUACAGGAGAGAAACAUGGUAGGGAAGAAUUGGGUUUUUCCCAACACAGGAGGUAGGCAGAACUGAGUUUUUCCUGAGCAGGUUGGUUCCUGUGUUCCUUUGACAUGCCCUAAUACUUUCGUUUAUCAAGCACUUCCUUCUUUGUUGUGUGUAUGCUCCAGGCUGGUGUUGUAUUUUCCCUGCUCUAGAGUCAACCAUUUCUCCAAGGAGCCCUGGUCCCUUUUAUCAGAGAAUGAUAUUUAGAAACCAAGAUCUAGACACUGGGUGUGCUCUUUGCUACCGGGGUGUUGUUGCUUCUCGGCUCCUUGCAGCAGAGCUAGGAAAUAAUCGUGUGUAUAUUAACUGGUGUAUAUACAUAUCUAUAACUGUUUCUGUAUCUAUACAUCAGCAUAUAUAUUGGGUUAAACAUGAGUUCAUACUGAGAUCUCUGACUCUAUUCCAAUACAACAGAGUUUUGUUGGAUACAUUUUUAAUUGACCCAUAAAUCAAACUAAUCUGGUAGUUGACUAGCACAGAGAAAAAUAUGAACAUGAAAACAUAAGAAUCUUCAUUCCCGAGGUGAGGGGGGAGGAUAUUGGAUUUCCCACAAGGAGGAAUGAAGGCCCAAGCUCAUCUUCUCUCAACCCUAAGAGACCACGUGACCCUAGCUGACAUCUAGGUUACAGAGAAGACAUUUGAUUACUCUGCGUUUCCACUUUUCACCCAGUUGUCUGCCAUCAUAUAGCUACCAAUAGAGACAGACUCAAAUGGCACCUCCUCACAUAAAGGAAAAAAAAAUGCUCCCUCAUUCCAGGGCCAGCUCGGUUAAGGUGGGAAGGCAGUGCUGUCUGGGCAGUUGGCCUUGGUCUUCUGGGGCAUCUUUCUCUCAUCUCUAGGCACUGCCCUUUCCUCCUUACUAUGCUUGUGUGGCCUUUAGAUGCUAACCCCUGACUCAGCGCCUCCGGCAGAGUUUCCUUGCUCUGAAUUUCUGGGUGCCCAGGCUGGGUUGUUAGAGCCUUUGGGGCCCCCUCUCCUGAGCAGGGAAGUGCCUACAAGGUAGGAAACCUGGUCUUUGCUCCUGCGGGGAAAAGGCCAGUCCAGCCCCUGACAGCACAAUCCUGCCUCAGCAAUGGAGCUCCCCCGGCCCUCACUCUGAAGUGGCCGGUGCUUUACCACGGCGGGUGAGCUCUGCCUUCACCCUUGGGGCAGAUGGCAGUGGCUAGCCGGCAGCCACCACGGCCUGUCUGAGGGGACUCUGUGGAGGGUGGUGGGAGCACGCCUGCAGCAGGAGCUCAGCUCCCUUCACCUGCUCCUCAUCCUCUGCAGGGGCACAAAAGGGCUGCACUGCCUGAGCUUUAGCUCUCCCUCUUUAAGUCAGGGCAGAGGACACAUCUGAGGGACAUGUGGAGCUUGUAGAUCCUGGAAGUAUUUGAUUAAAGGGAAAGGAAUCUUGGCUUGAAGCACCAAGAGUCUUAAGAGACAAGACAGUUAUGAAACAGAGAAAGAUGCUGAGACUUUGCCUUCUGCUUUAGAUCUUUUACAGGUGGGCCCGGGAGGAGGGCACGCCAGGUGUAGUGCUCAGUGUGUGCUGAUCCCACAGGGAACUUGAUGCUCUCUGGGGAGAGAAGUAGGAUUGAAAUCUAAGGCACAUAAGGCAAGAAACAGGCACUUAUUGGGCACUCACUGUGCACCUAGCACUCUGCUGGACACUAGGGGAGAAAGCAAGGGAAGAGGAGGCAUCUCUCCUGUGCUGAAGAGCCCACCAUCUCCUAGAGAAAGUAAGAUGCACAGGAAACCACACCGGGAGUAUAGGUCCUGGCCUGUGACACCUCUGUGGGCCCGCCAGUCAUGACUGGGGCUUCCCUGAGGCAGUAGGAGCGGGCAGGGCAUGGUGUUUGGGAGCAGACCCCAAGUCUGACAGACAUGAAUCCUUCCCAGAUGUGUGAUGUUAGGAGUUCACUUCCCUCCUCCAAACCUCCACUUCCCUGUCCAUAAACUGAGAAGAAUACUGGCAAGAAUAUUGUGAGGAUCCACGUGAUGAUGUCUGCACAGCCUCAGCUGGAUGUGAGGUGUACAGCAACCAUUUAGUUACUGGUAGUAGCUAUUGCAGUUAUUUAAAAGGGAGGGCCAAGUCCAAGGCCAACUGCCCUGGCUGCUCUGCUCUUGCAUGCUCUUAGGGCAUCUUCCAGAGUGAGUGGUCAUGCUCAGAGGGGUGGGAGAUGCCGCAAGGCACUGCCCUGCCCGGCUCCAACAGGCAUCCUCUCGAUAAGAACACGUGCACGAACCUGCGCCCUUCUGCUCUUGCCUCAAAUUGGAAGAGGCCAGGCAAACUAGGCUCCUUAUCUGUCCGCUUGGAAGCAGAAAGGGCUACAAUGGCUCAGUGGAGAGAAUAGCAGCCUCCAAAUUAGUCCACGCUCUAAUCCCCAGAACCUCUGACCCUCCGAUCUUAUGCAGCAGAGGAGAUUUGGCAGAUGUGACCAAGGUAAGCACCUUGAGAUGCGGAAGUUAUCAUGGAUCAGUGGGGUGGACCCAAUGGAAUCACAAGAGUCCUUAUAAGACAGAGACAGGGGGUCAGAGUCAGAGAAGGAGAUGUGACAUUGGGGGCAGAGGUGGGAGUGACACAAUUGAGAAGGGAACCAUAAGCCAAGGAAUGCAGGCAGCCUCUAGGGAAAUGGACUCUCCCACAGAGCCUCCGGAAGGAAUGCAGCCUGCCAAUACCUUGAUUUGAGAUCCAUUUCAGACUUCUGACAUUGAGAAAUGUAAGAAGGUAAGUUUGUGUUGUUUAAGCCACUAAGUCUGUGGUAAUUUGUUACAGCAGUGAUAGGAAACUAAUACAAGUAUCUUACGAAAAAUGACCCUUUCUGGGGCUAACUUCUUUCUUCUUGGCAUGACUGAAUUUUGUACAGAAGCAAUAGAGACCAUGCUGUAAAGGGGGCUUGUUUUUCUUUUGAUCUGUAUUACAAACAUACUACCCCAGGGUAUUGAACACUGAUGCCUGUGCCAAGUUCCCACCCCUCCACAUCAAAAGUGAAUUUCUUAUCUGCAUCAACCGUCCUCGGAUGGAAGCAAGCUUGCUUUUCUUUCGUCGAGGUUCUUGCUGACUGCUUCUUGGAAAGUAAUAAUUAUCUGCCUUUGCUGUUUAGAGCAUCUUCCUUUCCUGAACAUCAGGUGACAACGAUAUCCUGUAGAUAGAUCUUCUGCAGCCUGAAGACUUAUUUUCACACAUUACUUUUCCUUUCUAAAUAACAAAGUGUCUCGAGGGAAAGGCAGCUUCCCAGAGCUGGGCGUGCAGGACUGGGACAUUUCUGUGGGUACGCGUCUGUGAGAGAGUGGGUGCCACGUGUUCUGACCCUCUCCGGAAAUGGACUGACUAAACUCUCCAUGAGAUUGAGGAAGCCUUAAAAACAACAACGAACCCACUCUAUGCUUUGUGCAUUGUAGCUGAUCUAAGAUUAAACCAAAAAUAUGUCUCUUCAGGUAAGGCUCCUCUGCCAGCAUGACUCUCCACAAACAGAAGUCCUUGGUCAUGUCACAGAUGAGGCCAGUGAGAAAACAAGCAGAGCCUAAGUCCUGCAUCCUGCAGUUCAUGCCUAUCCGGAACGGCACUUUAGAGUUCAUAAAGACGCCCUUGCACAUAUACCAUCUUAGACCUACUCUCACUUCACAAAUAAGAGCUACUUUUUUGUCUUUCUUGAGAGCUUGAGAGAUGGCAGGCACUGUGCUGGCUCCUUACCUGGUGUAGUGGUUGGGAGCUCAAGCUUGGAAGCCAAACUGCCCAGGUUUGAUUGCUGGCAUCCUCCUCUUCCCUGCUGAAUGGCCUUGCCCAAAAUGCUUAAGCGCUCUGUGUCUCAGUUUCCUCCUCCGUGGGAAAGAAUAACAGUAUUUACCCUCGGGGAUUGCCAUGAGGGUGACAAGAGCUGAUGUCUGUAAGGGUCUUAGAAUGCUGCCUGCACAUUAGAGGCCCUCAUCGCAUCCCUUUGAGGCAGGUAUUUGUCCUGAACCCACGUCAGCUGUAUCCCUCGCCUCACCUUGGGGCCUAGAACUCUAACUGGAUAACUUGUGUCACGUGACUCCUUGAUUGAUGGGUCCACUGAUUUUCAACAACAGUGCCUAGUUAAUGGAAGAAAGAAUAGGCUUCUCAACAAACGGUGCUGGGACAACUGGAUAGCCACACGCAAAAGAAUGAAGUUGGACCCCUAACACAAUACACUAAAAUCAACUCAAAGUUAAUCAUAAAUCUAAAUGUAAGACCUAAAAUUAUAAACCUCUUAGAAGAAACAGAACAGCAAGUCUUGUUGUCCUUGGAUUAGGCGUUAAUCUCUUGGUUGAUGCUCAAAGCACAAGCCACAAAAGCAAUAGAUAAAUUGGACUUCAUCAAAAUUAAAAACUUUUUUCCCCC
ensembl:lncRNA